rnacentral:misc_RNA from 1 species
GAUGAAGAACGCAGCGAAAUGCGAUAAGUAGUGUGAAUUGCAGACUUUAGUGAAUCAUCGAAUCUUUGAACGCACAUUGCGCCCCUUGGUAUUCCAUUGGGCAUGCCUGUUCGAGCGUCAUUUACAACCUCAAGCUCCGCUUGGUGUUGGGUGUCUGUCUGCGCUUCUUGCGAAGACUCGCCCUAAAUCUAUUGGCAGCGGCAUCGCCGGCUUCUCGCGCAGUACAAUGCGUUAUGGAAGGCUACCGGCGGGCUUGCGUCCAUCAAGUAACCCCCCAAGUUUGACCUCGAAGCAGGUAGGGAUACCCGCUGAACUUAAGCAUAUCAAUAAGCGGAGGA